GGAAUAUUGGGCAAUGGGCGAAAGCCUGACCCAGCAACGCCGCGUGAAGGAAGAAGGCUUUCGGGUUGUAAACUUCUUUUCUAAGGGACGAAGGAAGUGACGGUACCUUAGGAAUAAGCNACGGCUAACCAUGCGCCAGCAGCCGCGGUAAUACGUAGGUGGCAAGCGUUAUCCGGAUUUACUGGCUGUAAAGGGCGUGUAGGCGGGACUGCAAGUCAGAUGUGAAAACCAUGGGCUCAACCUGUGGCCUGCAUUUGAAACUGUAGUUCUUGAGUACUGGAGAGGCAGACGGAAUUCCUAGUGUAGCGGUGAAAUGCGUAGAUAUUAGGAGGAACACCAGUGGCGAAGGCGGUCUGCUGGACAGCAACUGACGCUGAGGCGCGAAAGCGUGGGGAGCAAACAG
rnacentral:rRNA from 1 species